rnacentral:rRNA from 1 species
UAGGGAAUCUUCGGCAAUGGACGAAAGUCUGACCGAGCAACGCCGCGUGAGUGAAGAAGGUUUUCGUAUCGUAAAACUCUGUUGUUAGAGAAGAACAAGGACGUUAGUAACUGAACGUCCCCUGACGGUAUCUAACCAGAAAGCCACGGCUAACUACGUGCCAGCAGCCGCGGUAAUACGUAGGUGGCAAGCGUUGUCCGGAUUUAUUGGGCGUAAAGCGAGCGCAGGCGGUUUCUUAAGUCUGAUGUGAAAGCCCCCGGCUCAACCGGGGAGGGUCAUUGGAAACUGGGAGACUUGAGUGCAGAAGAGGGGAGUGGAAUUCCAUGUGUAGCGGUGAAAUGCGUAGAUAUAUGGAGGAACACCAGUGGCGAAGGCGGCUGUCUGGUCUGUAACUGACGCUGAGGCUCGAAAGCGUGGGGAGCAAACAGG